rnacentral:lncRNA from 1 species
CUGAGCACUGCUUGAGUUUAGUGCUGGUUUAGGCCAAAACCAUUCUAGUGACCAUUUUAACUCCUUAACUCUGAUAAAAUUCUAGUAUUUGGGAACUUUUAUUACCACUGCCUAACUUCUAGUUUUAGACAAAGAAGAGAAAAUUUGACUGAACUGAUGUAGGAAGUCAAGAAGAGUCAUGAUAGAACAUGAAAAACUUUUGUCCAUUCUGGAAGAUGAAAGAGUACAACUUCAUCCAGCACUGAAGAAAAUGGAAUAAGCCAGCAGUCAAUACAGGUGAAUAUUUACUAAUCAUCUCCUACAUAUGAGGGAAAGGGAAAGAGAAACCAUCUCCUCUAGCUGUGACUCAGAGCUUGACUGUAAAAAGAGAGAUGCUGAAUAUAGCAACGUCAAAAUAACUGCAGUAUUUUCUGUGAGAGAUGUCAAACAUUUCAUCUUCUGA